UACGAAGGGGGCUAGCGUUGCUCGGAAUCACUGGGCGUAAAGCGCACGUAGGCGGCUUUUUAAGUCAGGGGUGAAAUCCUGGAGCUCAACUCCAGAACUGCCUUUGAUACUGAGAGGCUUGAGUCCGGGAGAGGUGAGUGGAACUGGCGAGUGUAGAGGUGAAAUUCGUAGAUAUUCGCAAGAACACCAGUGGCGAAGGCGGCUCACUGGCCCGGUACUGACGUUGAGGUGCGAAAGCGUGGGGGAGCAAACAGG
rnacentral:rRNA from 1 species